UACGUAGGGGGCAAGCGUUGUCCGGAAUCAUUGGGCGUAAAGCGCGUGUAGGCGGCUCGGUAAGUCCGCUCUGAAAGCCCGGGGCUCAACCCCGGGAGGCGGGUGGAUACUGCUGAGCUCGAGUCCGGAAGAGGAGUGUGGAAUUCCUGGUGUAGCGGUGAAAUGCGCAGAUAUCGGGAAGAACACCCGUGGCGAAGGCGGCACUCUGGGACGGUACUGACGCUGAGACGCGAAAGCGUGGGGAGCGAACAGG
rnacentral:rRNA from 1 species